ACUCCUUCCUGUGACUUGACCACGCCGCCUCCCGGAUCCCCGGCGGGCCGCUUCUCCCCGCAGGCCGUGUAGCGUCAGAUACGGGCCCCAGGCCCACCAGGACGAGCGUCUCCAGCUGCUGCCGCCUGAGCCUGCCCUCCACGGCCAGUAGCUGCGCCUCACACUGGAACACCUGCAGCUGCAGCUCAUCCGCCUUCUCGCCCAGCUCCCGCACCUGCUUGCGCAGCGCGUCCUUCUCCUGCAGGCCCCGGGCGUGCUGUGCGUGCAGCUCCUCCCGCGUGGCUAUGGCCUGACGGGACAGCACAAGGCCGACCCUCAGUGAGGGCCCCAAGCUUGCCCUGGGCCCUCGGCCCGGCCGCCCAACUCCAAGCAGAGGCUCCGGAGGACGUCAAGCCGCUGGGCGCGGAGGCUGGUCACAGCCCCUCCAUUUGUGUGCUCUGCGGACACGAAGUCAGCACGUGGGGGAUUGUAAAUGUGACAGUUGUCCCUGCUGCCCUUCUGUCUCCUCCCAAGCCUGCACCCCCGGUGGACACAGCGUGUGCUAUGUACCCCCACACGUGCACAUUUGAUAAAUUUUGGACGCGGCUUGAUAUGGAGACCCUGACUGUCCAUAGCUAAGCGUCCUUCGUGACCGCAGCACUCUUUACCACCCCUGUCCUCACUGCGGACACUGAGACGCAGGAGCGAAUGUGCAAACACGACGGCUUGACCACCCCUGCAGCCGAGGCUGGGAGGCCCUCACCUAACCCCUUCUGCCCAGACUGGAGCAACGGCUGGCAGCUUCCCUAAUCCCUGGCCAACGCGCUCCCGGGAAGUCCCGUGGGAGCCCCCGCCCUGGGAGCCACACCAACCCCCAUGGGGGCACAGCUGGAUCUGCCCUUUUCCCCUGCCUUGGCGUGGGCCAGGCGCGAGUGAGGCUGAGGUGGGGCUGAGACAGGAGCUCUGAGCCUGGGCUGCUCUCAUGGGGGCCGGGGCUUCCUUUGUAGCCCCAGGGGUCUCGUUUUAAGGCUCCUGAUGUGGACAAAGUGCCAUCCAGCAUUUAGCCGAAGCAGCAAUGGUGUCCAUUGGAAACAACCUCCAGGAUGGGACUUGGGACGGGGCAUGGGAAGCAGACACAGCCCUGCCCCGCGACGCUCCAUCCGGCUCACAGCACGUAGCACUGGAGGCCUUGCAGGCCUCACUCCCGUGGCCCAGGCUGGAGUGCAAUAGCGCAAUGGUGACUUGCUGCAGCCUCAGCCUCCUAAAUAGCUGGGACCACAGGCAUGCGCCACCACGACCAGUUAAUUUUUUUUUUUUUUGAGACGGAGUCUCGCUCUGUCACCCAGGCUGGAGUACAGUAGCGUGAUCUCAGCUCACUGCAACCUCUGCCUCCUGGGUUCAAGCAAUUCUCCUGCCUCAGCCUCCUGAGUAGCUGGGAUUACAGGCGCCCGGAACCACACCAGGCUAAUUUUUGUGUUUUUAGUAGAGACGGGGUUUCCCCAUACUGGCCAGGCUGGUCUCGAACUCCUGACCUCAAGUGAGCCGCCUGCCUCGCCCUCCUAGAGUGCUGGGAUUAUAGGCGUGAGCCACCGCGCCAGGCCAAUUUUUGCAUUUUUUUGUAGAGCAGGGAUCUCACCGUGUUGCCCAGGCUGCUCUGGAACUCCUGGGCUCAAGUGAUCCGCCCGCCUCAGCCUCCCAAAGUGCUGGGAUGACAGGCGAGAGACACCACGUCCAGCCAAGCUUUUUUUAAGAUUAAAAAAAGCUACUGGUAAAACAAGA